UGGGGAAUAUUGCACAAUGGGCGCAAGCCUGAUGCAGCCAUGCCGCGUGUGUGAAGAAGGCCUUCGGGUUGUAAAGCACUUUCAGCGGGGAGGAAGGCGUUAAGGUUAAUAACCUUGGCGAUCGACGUUACCCGCAGAAGAAGCACCGGCUAACUCCGUGCCAGCAGCCGCGGUAAUACGGAGGGUGCAAGCGUUAAUCGGAAUUACUGGGCGUAAAGCGCACGCAGGCGGUCUGUCAAGUCAGAUGUGAAAUCCCCGGGCUCAACCUGGGAACUGCAUUCGAAACUGGCAGGCUAGAGUCUUGGAGAGGGGGGUAGAAGUCCAGGUGUAGCGGUGAAAUGCGUAGGGAUCUGGAGGAAUACCGGUGGCGAAGGCGGCCGCGUGGACAAAGACUGACGCUCAGGUGCGAAAGCGUGGGGAGCAAGCAGG
rnacentral:rRNA from 1 species